rnacentral:lncRNA from 1 species
AAAAAAAAAGGUACGGCCUCAGUUGUCGGAAUUGUCGCCGGAGCCAUCGUUGGAGGCCGCCGGAACAGUGGCCGGAAAUGGAGAUGUUGCCAAAGGUGUCGCCGGAAGUGGAGGUGUCGCUGGAACAGUCGCUGAUGCCGGAGCAUUCGCCGAGAACUCGCCGGACGUGGGGUGGGGUCUCAGAGGUGGGGUGGUGUUGGGGAGGGGGGAGAGAAAAUAAUUUGAAUUUAAAAUUUGGUGUGAUGGGAGGGUGGGUGAGUGGGUGGGGUGGGUUUGGUGGAUUAAUUAUAUUAUAAUUAAAUAUUUAAUAUUUAAUAAAUUUAAUUAUCACCUUUUUUUUGAAAUGUUUUAAAAAGUUUGUUAAUUUUGAAAUGUGAAUUUUAAAUGAAGGGAUCAUGUGGUCUUCCCUAGAUUAUAUCGUAAAAUAAACUUGAUUUGGGUCAUUUUAGUAUUUUGGUUUGGGCUUGUUAAUUAUUAUAUUUAAAUGGUCCAUGACCCCACAUCUAGAACAAUUAAUAUUUUAGAAUUAUUCAUGCCCUAGAGUACCCAAUUCUAUUUCUCGAUGUAUAGUUAUUGAUUUUUCUAUUUCUAUUUUUACGAUGCAUACUUCAAGUUGCAUGGUGCCUUCCAUAUCCGAUAAACUUUAUCUUCUUUGCAUUUGAUUGUAAGCCUUGAAAAUGCUUAACAUCCACCUUUUCUUGAGCUUCCCGAUUUAACUAAGAAAACAUCAAGCUGAAAAAUAUUCAACUGAUCUUCAGACAUUUGAAAAAAAUUUCUCCUCUUGGGACAUAUAUAUAUAGUCCUUGAACCCAAACACACCUAAUCUAUAUUCCAAUUUGGUCCAUGAUAUUUGGUUAAUGUGCAUUUCAGUCCCCUCAAUUGGACAAUGUGCAAUUCAAUUAUUGAAGCCAGGGCCAGUCAUAAUAUUUUGGGGGCCUUAUUCCAACUUUAAAUACAAGGCCCUAUUGAUGGAAAAUCGUUGUAUUAUUACUUGAACCUUCCUAUAGAGAGUUUUAAUAUAAUUAUGAAUAAUCUAAUACAGACAAUUAAACUCCAAAAUUUGAAGAGGAAAAUAACGAAAUGUCAAAAGUUAACAUGCAAUACAAAUUAUAAGUGAAGUUUGGCAUGCUAAAUUAUAAUGUAAUGGCAAAGGACUCUGUUCAUUUCCUUGAUCAUUUUCUCACUGCAACUAUUUAAAACGUAAUUGAAUGUGCAUUUGAGUGACUUAAGUACAAAAUCAAAAAAAUAUUCACUACGAGAGAUUGUAUAACAAAAUAAUGAAAAUGACGAUCAAAUACAAAUGAGCUCCUAAUUUUAUAUUAAUUCACACUAAAUUAACUUAAAAUUAAGAAGUAUGAACACAGACAAAUAAUUAUUAAAUUCAAAGUACCUUUAAUAAGCAUCUAAAAGGUUAUUAUCAUGAGAUUAAAGCAAAACAAUAAUAAUAACAGCUUAUAAACUUUGUAAUAUAUGUUUUGAAGAUAAAGGAUAAAAUGAAAAACUUGUAAGGCUACACAGUGAUACCAAACCAAUCUGUUAAAUUGAAUUUUCAAAAUUUUAAUUCCACAUGAGAUAAUUCAUUUCUUGUUUGGUUGAAAAAAAAUUAUGAUGGGUUACUAUUAGACGUAGGAUUUGAAGAGACAUUUUUGUUUGAUUAAGAAAAUAAAAUGGAUGUUCAGUAGAUAAAUGGUCAAAUUACCUUUACAGAGACAGAGUAAUGUUUGUGAUAUUAUUUAUAUGAUAAAUAACUGCAAGUGAUAAGCUUUGUGCCAUUUAUUUAUUUUUCUGAAGAUUUUAGUAUUCCCAAUUUUUAUUAGUUUCUUGUGUUUGCAUAUUGAUAAUUCUAUUUUAAAGAAUUUUAGAAUAUGAUUUUUGCUUUUCGUCAACCAAUUAACCUUACAUAAUUUGGAAUCCUCAUCAAAGUGGAGUUUUAAACGAUCGUCUAUCUCGCUAAUAGUCAGGGCCGCCACUGAUUGAAGCCCAAGAUGAAUCUGUUGUGGCCAGAUGCAUUGGAUGAAUCUGUUGUAGCCGCUACACCUCUCACAUGAGGUUGGGUCCCAUGUGGGGGUCAUGACGUGGCGUCCGACCCGCAUGUGAGAGGAGGAAAUGAACCCGAGUAAACUAAAGUGUGAACAGACAAGUACAAGUAGUAUGACCCAUACUUUUAUAUACGUUGUUUGCACUAUGAAAAUUAGGACCCUCCGUAACCGCCAUUUUGGACAUUUUUGGCCAUAUUUUCAGCAAUAAGGACUUUCCAUUAGCGGACUUACAUAAUCCAUUCAAAAAAUUUCAGAAUGGAUGAAUCUGGACAUAUGAAUGGCCAUAUUUUCAGCAAUAAGGACUUUUCCAUUAGCGGACUUACAUAAUCCAUUCAAAAAAUUUCAGAAUGGAUGAAUCUGGACAUAUGUGUGUCAAGGUUCAUUAUCAAAUGCCAGCAACUUAACUUGUUUUUUCUUCGAUUUCCACACUGGUCUUUCAUCCAAAUCCUCAUUUUUACAGAUAAAGACCCCCCAAUUAUGAAUUGACCUAAUCCCAUUCUAAUUGGAGCCAAGAUGUUAGGGAGAGUUGGGUGAAUCGAGACAAAAAAUAACACUUAGCCAAAUAAAAAGGUUCACGACAUACCUUAGACGAUCAAUGCAGAGUUCACAGCCUUUUUUAAUUUUGCCGAGUACCUUGUGCUUAGACUGGUCAUUUGAAAUGCAGCACGCCUAGGCAGGCCAUUUAGAAUAGAAUUGACAUAAUGUCACAGGACAUCAUAUUAUUGGACUGUUUAAAAUACGUUUAUCUUUUUCUUCCAAUCACAUUUUAAAAAUAUUUUUCUGUCAAAGUAUCAUAUAGUCUAAAUCUAAGCGACCAUCUAUAUUAUUAUUAAUAAUUAAAGAUAAGAUAAAAAAAAAUUACUUUAACUAUCAAUUUAAAAUCUUGCACAAAUUAUAGAGUAUGUUUGGUGUAAAUUUUUGAGAAUAGAAUUUUUUCAAAAUAUAUGAUUAAAAAGUAGAGAAAAAUUAUGAUUUUAUAUGUAAAAUUAUUUUAUUUAAAAUAAUAUGAAAUUAAAAAUGAAUUUAAGGGAAAAAAAAUAUUAAACAAUCUCCAACAAAUUGGAGUUGUGAGAAUGGAUGAAUUUAAUUUGAUUCCUUUCGGUUUGAUUCCUUUCGACGUGAAGUAAAGACAAAAUAAUACAAUAUUCAAUUUGAUUCCUUUCGUCAUCACUUACUUCACUUCGAAGUUGACCGAGAAAUCCACACUCCUUUGAUGGCAUCUGUAAGGGGACAUUGAUUCAAUCUACUCAUAGAAUCUGCCAAAGGAAAAUGUCUGGAAUUCAAGAAAUCUCGUCCCCUCUUAGUAAGCAAGCAUGCAGUUAUUACAUCAAUUCUUGUUUUUAAAAUUCGAUUUGAAUCUGAAAUGAAAAUGUGCAGUUCAGAAGCCGGAAUCGCAUGCCUCGCCGGAGACGGAGGAGGAACAAGAAAACUCUCCUAUCGAGCAAGUAGCACUCACGGUGCCGGUCACCGACGAUCCGACCCUGCCCGUAGUCACCUUCCGGAUGUGGACCCUAGGGGCUGUGGCUUGUACUCUUCUCUCGUUUCUCAACCAAUUCUUCUGGUAUCGCCGCGAGCCUCUUUCGAUCACCGCAAUCUCCGCCCAGAUUGCCGUGAUACCCCUGGGCCACCUCAUGGCGGCGGCGAUUACGCGAAGAGUGUUCUUCAAGGGGCGGAAUUGGGAAUUUAGUUUGAAUCCUGGUCCGUUUAAUGUGAAGGAGCAUGUACUGAUCACUAUUUUUGCGAAUUCAGGGGCGGGAAAUCCUUACGCGAUUCAUAUUGUUAGUGCUGUGAAGAUAUUUUAUAAACAGAGGUUGAGCUUCUGGGUGGCGCUGGCGGUGGUUCUGACGACUCAGGUUUUGGGAUUUGGAUGGGCAGGGCUUUUUCGAAGGUACUUGGUCGAGCCCGCUGCUAUGUGGUGGCCCCAAAACCUUGUUCAGGUGUCUUUGUUCAGGUAUAAGCUACUUCUCGAAACUUGCGUUUUGUAUGAUUCAUUGUUAUUGCCCCCGGUCCAGCCUGACAAAGAGGUGGAUUAUGAGGUUAUUUUCUUAAGUCACCCUUUUGGCCUUUCUUCUUCAUAUGUGUCUGUUUUGGUUCUUUGAAUUGCACAAUAUAUAGAAAAUUUAUAAUGGGAAAAAAGGAUAGAAAGAAUAGAAUGUACUCUUAAUACAAAACUUUACAAUAUCAAGUAUAACACCUUGAUGUUCCUUUAUAAGGAAUUUAGCUUUAGUAUUGUCAACUAGUGUGUAACCUCAAGUUUCCUCGUAACUCUUUGUUUUGCAUUUUGCUUGAAACCACGUGUGUUGAUUGGAUGACUCAUUGAUUUGUAGCUUUAGUUUUAUUCAAACUUGAAUAACCUGAAUUUGAGGUUAGUUUUUCGAUUCAUGGAACUAGAUUAUGACAGUCUUUUGACUUCGUUUUCAAAUAUACUUGUCUUUAGUUUGAGUAAUUUGGCUAUUGUCUUGCCUUGUUUUGAGAAUUACUUAAUACUUGUGAUUGUUUAAUGAUGAAGCUGCUCUUUUUAUUGCAUACGGCUAAAAUGACACCCUUCUUUUUCUUUCUGUUCCCAUUUAGAACUUCUUUUUAGCAUGACUUGUGCAAAGUACAAACAGGUUAUGUUCUGUUCGAUGACUAACAGGGAUGAAUAGAACUUAUUAGUGAGCUAUGUUUCUACCUUCCAAAUUUUGUUCUUUUAACUAUUGAUUCUUUUCCAAGUCUCAUUCAAAAUAGAUUUUAGUCUAAGGGAGGCGCCGAGGCGUUAUGUAUUAACUAAACUGAUGAGGACAUCCUUUAUAGUUGGACUUUUAUUAUUGUUUCAGUAUUUUAGUUGGACUUUUAUUUAAGUUUACGUAUUUUAAUUAGGACUUGAAUAAUGGGCUUGGCCCUAUAUUUCUAGGUUUUCAUUAUUUAAACCUAUCAUUGGUUUGUAAUUUCUCGGUUGAUGAAUUGAUUAAGAAUUAUAAAGUUGGCUUGGCCGUUUUCUCUCCUCCUCCCCGUUUCUGCCUUCUUCUUCUCUUCUCCUCCCCUUCCCUUCUUGUUAUUUACUAAUUCAGUAAUCUCCCUACAUCAAAUUGGUAUCAGAGCAAACCCUGGACAGCAAUUCAUACACCAUCCAUACCAAAACCCGUUGCUGCAGACAAUAUACUUACUUGCAGAACCUAGUUUCACGCCUCCACCUCCCCAUCCGUCACAUAGUACACCUGUUUACCCAACUCGUCCACAGCAACCAUAUACACUGCUACAAUCAGUAACCACCCCACACACAAUCUACUAAGCCACCAGAAACUACCAGCAAAGGCAGCACCCUACUGCGGUCACCUCAUCGACGGCGCUACUUGCUUCAUGCUUCCCCCGGUCGACACCCAGCAAUCUCCCAACUAUAAGACUGCAGCAGCCGAGUGCGCGACCCAAGGCGUCGCCGCCAGUAGACCGGCGCCCCACAGUUGACACUCUCCUUCGAGUUCACGCAUCCCAGCCGCCGACUCCCAUUGCAAUCGGGUGUGGGUAUGAGUUAUGGUUAGGGGUUAAUUAGCUUAAGAAUUACGUGGGUUGGGUUAUUGAUUAUUAGUUGGGUUUAGGUUNNNNNNNNNNNNNNNNGGGUUUUAUUUUAUUGUUGGGUUGGGUUAAUUGGAUUCUUAAUUAAUUGGUUUAAUGAUUAAGUGGGUUGGUUUAUUGGUUAACAAUUAGGUUUGGGCUAAAGUUCAAUUGGGCUGAUUUAUUUGUGUUGCUUGGGCUUGGGCUUGUUUAAUGUUUGAGUGUGAUUUAGGCCCAAAUUUGUGAAAUGGGCUCAUUUAUUAUUUUGUUAUUCUGAUUUUGUAUUAUUAUUAAAAAAAAAAAGAAAAAAAAAAGAAAAAAAGAAAAGAAAAGAAAAGAAAAGAGAAGAGCAAAAAAAAAGGCAUCGUGAAUUUUAAAUUUUCUGACAUCAUUUACAGGUUCAUUUUAGUUGACUGUUCAGUACCGCACCUCGACGAGCACGGAAUUUUCUAUCUUGGCAUCUCAGGGCUUAGUAGUUCAGAACGUGGAGACAUUCGACGCUGGGACGACUCAAACCAACAGUACUCAGGGAGUUCCUGAUCCUAUUUAUUAUUAGUUGACGCUAUUUCUUUAUUUUAGAAUUGCAUCAAUUAAUUCUAUGUGUGCUGGCCAUUUGAUAAUACUGCCUUAAACCUAUUCGAUUAUAUUUCACGAGCUAAAUUCCAUUACUCAAUCGUUUACCCCACGUGACUAGGCCUAGUAUUUGGACAUUUGCUUUUCUAUUUUAUUAGCAUUAGUAGUAUUAGCUUGCGAUCGAGCCAUAAGUAACCCCAACCUUUAAAUUGACAAAAUAACAAAAAAAUAAUAAUAAUAAUAAUAAAUAAAUAAAUAAAUAAGUAAUAAUAAUAAUAAUUUCAAUAACUAAUUUUUCGGUUGGCACUAGUUGAUUGUUGAUUAUUGAUCUCAGUAGUGCACUUUACGUAGUCGUGUUACCGUGUAUGCAAUUGCGUAGUGGUCGCGUUACUGCCUCUAGCUCUAGUAACCUAACCAUGGACCCCGCCCAAAUUGAGGCCCUCACCAGACAGCUUGCACAAUUACAAAAUCAACUAACAGCUGUCCAAACUGAGGUAGCCGCUACUCGUGAAGAGAAUANNN